UUCUGGCUCAGGAUGAACGCUGGCGGCGUGCCUAAUACAUGCAAGUCGUACGAGGGAAGUCCAGCUUGCUGGACGGAACGAGUGGCGAACGGGUGAGUAAUACGUAAGCAACCUGCCUGCAAGGACUGGGAUAACACCUGGAAACGGGCGCUAAUACCGGAUAGGUAACAAAGGGGCAUCCCUAUGUUAUUAAAGGUUAGAAACACAAGCAGAUGGGCUUACGGUGCAUUAGCUAGUUGGUGAGGUAACGGCCCACCAAGGCGAUGAUGCAUAGCCGGCCUGAGAGGGUGAACGGCCACAUUGGGACUGAGACACGGCCCAGACUCCUACGGGAGGCAGCAGUAGGGAAUUUUCGGCAAUGGACGAAAGUCUGACCGAGCAACGCCCGCGUGAGUGAAGAAGGUUUUCGGAUUGUAAAGCUCUGUUGUAAGGGAAGAACAGCACGGAAAGAAUCCGUGAAUGACGGUACCUUACCAGAAAGCCACGGCUAACUACGUGCCAGCCGCGGC
rnacentral:rRNA from 1 species